rnacentral:rRNA from 1 species
GUUGAGGUAUACGAUCUUAUUUCUGAAUUGAAGAUUAUGAGAUUCACUUUGCCAGAUGGGGUAAUGUCUGCUAUGGAGAUUUUCGGACAUGUCAGAGAAAUUGAUUGUUAUCCUAAUAUCUCCAUUGCCUAUCGCAUCACUGUGGCUGUGACAGUCGUAUCGGCCGAAAGAAAUUUUUUGAAAUUGAAAUUAUUGAAGAAUUAUUUGAGGUUAACAUCGACUCAAGAUAGGUUAAAUUGUUUGGCUACAUCAUGCAUCGAGAAGAAAUUAUUGGAUGAGAUUGACAUCAACCCCAUCAUAAGUGACUUUGCAUCGAGGAAUGUUAGAAGUGAAUUUUAA